rnacentral:rRNA from 1 species
GAUGAACGCUGGCGGCGUGCUUAACACAUGCAAGUCGAACGAAGCACUUUAUUUGAUUUCCUUCGGUACUGAUUCUUUUGUGACUGUGUGGCGGACGGAUGCUUAACGCGUGGUUAACCUGCCUUGUACAGGGUGAUACCAGUUGGAAACGGCUGCUCCUACUGCAUAAGCGCACAGCAUCGCAUGAUGCAGUUUGAAAAACUCCGGUGGUAUAAGAUGGACCCGCGUUGGAUUAGCUAGUUGGUGAGGUAACGGCAAACCAAGGCGACGAUGCAUAGCAGAACGGGUAAGGGGACCGGCCACAUUGGGAAUGAGACACGGACCAAACUGCGACGGGAGGGAGCAGUGGGGAAUAUUGCAGAAUGAGCGAAAGCCUAAUGAAGCGACGCGGCGUGAGAGAAGAAGUAUUUCGGUAUGUAAAGCUCUAUCAGAAGGGAAGAGAAUGACGUUACCUGACUAAGAAGCACCGGCUAAAUACGUG